AACGAACGCUGGCGGCAGGCUUAACACAUGCAAGUCGAACGGUAACAGGUUAAGCUGACAAGUGGCGAACGGGUGAGUAAUGUAUCGGAACGAGCCCAGUCGUGGGGGAUAACUACUCGAAAGAGUGGCUAAUACCGCAUACGACCUGAGGGUGAAAGCGGGGGACCGUAAGGCCUCGCGCGAUUGGAGCGGCCGAUAUCAGAUUAGCUAGUUGGUGGGGUAAAAGCCCACCAAGGCGACGAUCUGUAGCUGGUCUGAGAGGACGACCAGCCACACUGGGACUGAGACACGGCCCAGACUCCUACGGGAGGCAGCAGUGGGGAAUUUUGGACAAUGGACGCAAGUCUGAUCCAGCCAUGCCGCGUGCGGGAAGAAGGCCUUCGGGUUGUAAACCGCUUUUGUCAGGGAAGAAACGAGUUUCUCUAAUACAGAGACUUAAUGACGGUACCUGAAGAAUAAGCACCGGCUAACUACGUGCCAGCCGCCGCGGUAAUAC
rnacentral:rRNA from 1 species